AUGGCUCAGGAUGAACGCUAGCGACAGGCUAACACAUGCAAGUCGAGGGGCAGCACGGGAGUAGCAAUACAACGUGGUGGCGACCGGCGCGACGGGUGAGUAACGCGUAUGCAACCUACCUAUCAGGAGGGGAAUAACCCGGCGAAAGUCGGACUAAUACCGCAUAAAACAGGGGCACCGCAUGGUGAUAUUUGUUAAAGAAAUUCGCUGAUAGAUGGGCAUGCGUUCCAUUAGGUAGUUGGUGAGGUAACGGCUCACCAAGCCGACGAUGGAUAGGGGAACUGAGAGGUUGGUCCCCCACACUGGUACUGAGACACGGACCAGACUCCUACGGGAGGCAGCAGUGAGGAAUAUUGGUCAAUGGGCGAGAGCCUGAACCAGCCAAGUCGCGUGAAGGAAGAAGGAUCUAUGGUUCGUAAACUUCUUUUGCAGGGGAAUAAAGUGCAGGACGUGUCCUGUUUUGUAUGUACCCUGAGAAUAAGGAUCGGCUAACUCCGUGCCAGCCGCAGC
rnacentral:rRNA from 1 species